CAGGGAAAUGGAAACAUCAAGCAAAAAUGUUGCAGAUGUGAAUGUUGCAGUGGUUCUUCCACUGCUCCUCAAGUACUUCAAUGAAGAAGAAGAACAGAUGUUCUACAAAGUGGAUCAAACAACCCUGCCCUCUGAAGUAGACUGUGCUGGACUUCCAAGUACACCAUGUAUUGUUGUGUGUGGAAACUCGACUUUGGCAGCGGAGAAUUUCAUGCUGUCUGUUGACCAGACCAUUGUGAAUGGCCACAUCAGAAUCUUCAGUGAUGCUCUUUUGCUGAUGUUUGGUUUGUACUACUGUAUGAACAUAUCUUACCCAGCAGCCCAAGCAUCAACUUUGGAGUUCUUACAGAGGUGCCUCUUCAAGAUAAAUCCAGAUAAGGGAUCAAAAGUGGAGCGGAACGCCACCAAAAAACAACUUGCAGUCAGUCCAAAGGUUCUCACACUGAUCACCAAAAUUGCAGACUAUGAGUGGAGGGAAAAAGAAGUGCUCUCUAGUUAUGGAUACUUUGUCCAAGUUACAGACUGUUAUGGAUUAAUAUCCAGUGAGGUUUCAUGUAAGCUAUUUGUUAUGUAGCUUUGUCAUUAAUGUUUUGGAUGUAUGGUUACUUGACCAGGUUAUGGAUGACUUAAAUAGAAUAUGUAUUCAUUUCCAGAGAGGUUUACUGUAGGUUUGUAAUCCAUGUUGUGGAUGUACAGUGACUUGACCAAGUUAUGGAUGCCUUGGAUAGAGUAUGGAUUCAUUUCCAGUGAGGUUUGACAAAGUUUCUCAUCAAUGUUUUGGAUGUAUGGUUACUUGACCAAGUUAGGAAUGCCUUGGAUAGAAAUAAUACUGGGAAUUGGUAACUCAGCUCUUUUUUUUAAUGCUUUUUUUUUUCAUUUCCAAUUCAGUUGAAUUUUAUUUUUGUUUGUUUCAGAGCCAGUCAUUUUAAUUUAAUCGAUUUUUGAAUAUUGCUGUAAUAAUGGCUACCUGUUACAGUUGAAUAAAAAUACUGAGAAUGGGAAAUUGUAGCUGUUCUUGUUCAGCUUUGUCUCAUUCAAACACAACAAUUCAUUUAAGCCCCUUUUCCCACUGGCCAAAAAAGGGUUUAAACCAUUUAAAAUAAAAAUAAUUCCGGUGUUAUUAGGUGAGAACAUUUUUUAAGUUGAAAGCCCUUUAAAUAUUCAGCAAAUCUAUGUAAAAGAAAACUAAAAACUAAACUUGCAAUAAACAGUAAAUUGUUGCAAUUGUACAUCCAAUAUGUAGUUAAGUGUUUUGACAUGUUUUGAAAGAUUAAUCAAAUUAUUGUGUCGUAUACGGUUAUAUUACAUCUAAUAUAAAGUAAUAUACAGCCUUUUUACAUAAAAUAAUGCCAUUAAAAACAACUAAUAAGAGCACAUUUCUGUAAAUUUAAGCAUUAUUAUUCAUAUUGCAAUGUUAAUUUGCCAUCUUUAUGGGUAAUUUCAUUGUUUUAAAACGUAAAAUGUUUGUAAUUAAAUCUUAAAAACAAUGUAAAAUAACUAAAUAUGCAUUUGAUGUGAUCUAAAAUUAACAGUAAAUUGUUGCAAUUUUAAACCCAAUAUCUAGU